UGUAUACGAUAUUUGUUUAAUUGUACCUUUUGUUAACGCUGAUUGUUUCAAAAUACCGGGUUCCCAUACGAGCCAAUGUAAACAUUUGGAUAGUGUCCAUUCCGAUUUAAUCUAUUCUGUGAUUAUAUUAAUGUAUAUGGCGACAUGGACACAUGAUUAUAACUACGAUUUAAGAUAGCGUCUAUCCGCAGCCAUGACGGUUACGAUAUGGUUUAGCCACUGUGAUUGAUAAUAAACGAUAAAAGG